rnacentral:rRNA from 1 species
UAGGGAAUCUUCCGCAAUGGGCGAAAGCCUGACGGAGCAACGCCGCGUGAGUGAUGAAGGUCUUCGGAUCGUAAAACUCUGUUAUUAGGGAAGAACAAAUGUGUAAGUAACUAUGCACGUCUUGACGGUACCUAAUCAGAAAGCCACGGCUAACUACGUGCCAGCAGCCGCGGUAAUACGUAGGUGGCAAGCGUUAUCCGGAAUUAUUGGGCGUAAAGCGCGCGAAGGCGGUUUUUUAAGUCUGAUGUGAAAGCCCACGGCUCAACCGUGGAGGGUCAUUGGAAGCUGGAAAACUUGAGUGCAGAAGAGGAAAGUGGAAUUCCAUGUGUAGCGGUGAAAUGCGCAGAGAUAUGGAGGAACACCAGUGGCGAAGGCGACUUUCUGGUCUGUAACUGACGCUGAUGUGCGAAAGCGUGGGGAUCAAACAGG